rnacentral:rRNA from 1 species
AUUUUCAGCGAUGGAUGUCUUGGCUCGCGCAACGAUGAAGGACGCAGUGAAAUGCGAAACGCAAUGUGAAUUGCAGAAUUCAGGGAAU